UCCCUGAAGGACUAGUGGUUAGGCCACGGCGCUCACAUCGCCACCGCCUGGGUUCAAUUCCCGGCCAGGGAA